rnacentral:lncRNA from 1 species
GAGGGGUUUGGUCCUCUGGGGCCUGACAACCCCCUCUGAUCGCCCUCACGUCCCAUAAGGAGGCAAAGGCCGGAUUUCCGAGGCCUGGGAGGAGUGCUCCAAGGCCCACCCAACUGUCAACACAGUUCCAUGCUGGUAGGUUCUGCAGCUCAGACCUAGGACUCCUGGAUCUCCACCCUACCCCAGCAGACCUCAGGCCCGGGCUCUGACACCUACCUAGUCCCAGGCUCUCUAGUGUCCACCUCCUGCAGGAGCUCCAGGCCCUGAAACCCAGCCUGUUUGCUUGGACUCCAGAGACCAGCAUCCUAUCAGCAUCUCUUUGCAUCAGGACUCAGCCCCUCAUCUGUCUACUUCUCCCCACCUAUGUGACACAGCACAAACUGCUCAUCCUGCCAGCCCAAGUGUGAACCUGCACCCAGGACAGAAAUGGCUCAUCAGACGCAGCACUGUUUCUCCCUGAACUAAGAUCCAUUUGCAAUAAAAUUCAGGCACCUACUGCCUGUUUAUGA